UGCGGCUGCUGUUCGUCUCUUUGCGUUUCUCACUGCUUUCUUCUCGGGUUUGUUGAUCUUUUGGUGUCUCUUUCUUCUGCUUAUGUUAAUCCCUAGCGGUGUUUCGUAUUUGUAAUCCCUUUUUAGCGAGCCGGUUGCUUGCGC